UUGCAGAGUCAUAGGCUGCGGAGCUUGAGGAUAGACAUGCAACUCUUUUUAAGAAGAUGUCCAGGAAUUUAAGAAGAAAAAGUUGUAAAGCCAAUACAAGAGGGUCUGCUUCUUAUCUUUGACCCCAAAAAAAGAUGGUUGGAAGGUGUGAAUAUCUGGCAGAUGCUUGCAGCGCUCCCGGGUAACCAGAGUAGCUGGACAUGGCGAACAGAGAACAGUGGGAUUAUCGUCGUGAAGAGGGGCGAAAGGCGUGAGUCAUACUACGUGUGAUUUUUGAUAUAGAAAGACAAAACGGCAAUCAACAUUGUUACGAUGACACUUGAGUUUUAAAGACAGUCAAGUUUAACAAAUUUUUGACGCAUUUUUUGAGACAAUUUUCAAAUAUUUGAAAUGUGCUUACUUUCAAGUUUUUAAACAAUAAUAUUUCAAGUCCUCUUGAAACUUUGAACACAAAAAAGAUAUUGAUUAUGAAAAAUGUAUCUGGAACGCUUCAGUUGUCAUUUGUAAAAAAAAAAUUAUAGGGUUGAAACAGGUCUAUUAAGUAUUUUGUUU